UCCAGCUUCACGAGUGUAUAUUUAAGUUGUUGCAGUUAAAAAGCUCGUAGUUGAACUUCUGUUCGUUCAGAAGGCGUGCAAGCGAAUUCUGGAUGAGCAUCCGCCUGAAAAAUCAUUCGGGUCUUCACUGAUUCAGUGAUGGAUCAGGCAUUUUACUUUGAAAAAAUUAGAGUGUUCAAAGCAGGCUUUCGCCUGAAUACAUUAGCAUGGAAUAAUAGAAUAGGACGCUGUUCAAUUUGUUGGUUAUUGAAUCGCGUAAUGAUUAAUAGGGACAGUUGGGGGCAUUUGUAUUUAAUUGUCAGAGGUGAAAUUCUUGGAUUUAUUAAAGACAAACUUAUGCGAAAGCAUUUGCCAAGGAUGUUUUCAUUAAUCAAGAACGAAAGUUAGAGGAUCAAAGACGAUCAGAUACCGUCCUAGUUUUAACUAUAAACUAUGCCCGACUCGGUCUCCGUCGAGCCUUCCUAACUCGAUGGGUGCCGUAUGAGAAAUCAAAGUCUUUGGGUUCCGGGGAGAGUAUGGUCGCAAGGUUGAAACUUAAAGGAAUAGACGGAACAUCACUACCAGGUGUGGAUCCUGCGGCUUAAUUUGACUCAACACGGGGAAACUUACCAGCGCAAAACAAGGGUGGGAUUGACAGAUUGAGAGCUCUUUCUUGAUUCUUUGGAUAGUGGUGCAUGGCCGUUCUUAGUUGGUGGAGUGAUUUGUCUGCUUAAUUGCGUUAACGAACGAGACCUCAACCUACUUACUAGACGCAAGAUAUACCAUCAUGCGUUCUUCUUAGAGGGACUGUGCGGAGACAAACGCAAGGAAGUUUGAGGCAAUAAC
rnacentral:rRNA from 1 species